AGUGGACGCUGGCGGUAGGCCUAACACAUGCAAGUCGAACGGCAGCACAGUAAGAGCUUGCUCUUACGGGUGGCGAGUGGCGGACGGGUGAGGAAUACAUCGGAAUCUACUUUUUCGUGGGGGAUAACGUAGGGAAACUUACGCUAAUACCGCAUACGACCUACGGGUGAAAGCAGGGGAUCUUCGGACCUUGCGCGAUUGAAUGAGCCGAUGUCGGAUUAGCUAGUUGGCGGGGUAAAGGCCCACAAAGGCGACGAUCCGUAGCUGGUCUGAGAGAAUGAUCGGCCACACUGGAACUGAGACACGGUCCAGACUCCUACGGGAGGCAGCAGUGGGGAAUAUUGGACAAUGGGCGCAAGCCUGAUCCAGCCAUACCGCGUGGGUGAAGAAGGCCUUCGGGUUGUAAAGCCCUUUUGUUGGGAAAGAAAAGCAGCAGGUUAAUACCCCGCUGUUCUGACGGUACCCAAAGAAUAAGCACCGGCUAACUUCGUG
rnacentral:rRNA from 1 species